CCGACCCGAGGGCGAAGACACCCAAAGCAGCCAAGCAGUCCAAAAAAGACUCUAACAAUGAGUGGAAAACUACAUUCUCAUCAAGCAAGACCUCCUUCACCAAAGGCAGGGUUUCGUUCCUGAGGACAAACUUGUUCAUCUCCUGGGGAAAAUCCUCGUUUUCCUGGAGCAAAACCAUUGUAACUUUAGGCAGCAACAGCAUAACGGUGGCUAAAACUUCGGUGACACGGGGGGAGACCACAAGCUCUUUCAUGACUAUUACCUUUACCUAUGGGACCAAGUCUGUGUCUGUUGUCAAGACCACCCUCAUCAGGGGCAAAGAAAGGCACAGCAACAUCUACUGGAAUUUUCACACUUGAAUCCUGCACACAAAUAAAAGCUCAUGGAUGUGUCUGUGUGGUCAGUUUUAGAAGUCCUGGCCUAACCAGCAGGAUCAGAUGACACUGGCAAACUCAACGCUAGCAGCAGCUGCACCAAAGGAAACACCCUUUCUGGCACUGGACUGGAACAAAAAGUCAAGAUUUGCUCUCUCGUAGUUUGGGUCAAAUCCAAAUAGCAAAGCAGGUUCUCUUUUUCACAAUUCCCCUCUGUAAAGAAGCGUCAAAGCAAAGUGUUUCAUGGUCAGCGGAGGUGCAGACGGAUCAGGGAGUAAGAUGGACAGUGAGGGUGUUUGAUUAAGAGAUAAUAAGUGUGUGAAUCAGAUCGGUUUACAGGAGAGGAAUAUAAGUGUGAGAGUAGCUCCAUAGUAAGUGGAUCAGCUGAUGAUUUGUCCCAAAAUGUACUGAAACCUCUGCUGUAAUUAUAGAUACUUGAUAGAAGUAGGAAUGAUUAAGGAAUCAUGAAACAUGCUAAAGAAAAGUUGCACAUUAUAACAAGCACAUGCAAAUUUGAAUAAUUGUUGACGCAUUUUGACAGAGAAAGGUGGAAUAAUGCACAAAAUGAUGCAAAGCUGCACGUCCCACCUGCAUAAACGUGAAUUUUUGUGUUUACAACAGCGGAUUUUUAUCAUAUUCUGUAAAAUCACACCUCAGAAGAGCAGGUCAUGUCUUUUCCCUCCCUGAGCCUUUUGUAACUCUUCCCAUCACCUUUCUCACUCAUCGUAUUUAUUCCUUCUCAGGUUCUCAGUGUCCACAGCAACACUCAUCCUGCAGUCACCGACCACCACGGAGAGGCUAAAAGCAACAAAUCAGUCAAUUUGAAACCCAACAGUACAGGAUGUGUACACUAUCAUCAUUGCUUAUUGAAAAACGUUUGAUCAAAUUAGGCUCAGAUUGGCUUAUUCUUGCAUGUCAAAUUUUCACUCUCUCCGGGAAGCCUCAGCUGAGUUAAAGUUUAAAAAAAACUGUUGCUACUGGCAACUGGACAUGCUACACCAUGUUAUUUCUCCAAUUUCAAAACUGCCACCACAGAUUCAAGCCAGGAAGAAACACUCCUAUUUAAAAUCCCAUCAUCAUUCAUAGCUUUCAUCUUGUUUAUUACACGAUGAAUGGUGCAGAACUGUUCCCUGAAAUGAUGCAAAUAUUUGCUCAAGCUUCCAGGUUUCCCUUCCCUAUACGCAUGCGCCCUCUGUUGUAAAUGUAUCUCUGAUUAAAGCAGCCUCAGCUCGCUGAAACACUGAGCUGAGAUCAGUUAUAUAGGACUCUGACAAGAAACUUUAAAAAGAAAAACAAGAAUUUUUUCCUCCUAAGGCGAAACUGAAACCGUGUUUUUUCCCCAACAAAUUAAGAAAUGAAAGGGUUAAUCUUUUACCACUGAGAAAAUAGACUUUUUACAAUUAUACACACAUACAUCAGGAUAAAAGGAAGGCUUGGCAUGCUGCACUAAUGAAAAGCACUAACAUCAUUUAGCUCACGUAGUCAGCCAGGUAUCUGUGUCUGGAUUCUGGAUAACUUAUCAGAAGAACGCCCAGGCUGCCGUGAUGACCAGCCAAAGGGGCUGCUGCUCAUUCAGCAUCUACCCCCAUUAAGGCUACACGGUCAUGUAACGACUACUCAUGUCAACUCAGAGUGGGCUAGAAAGGUCAGAAAUGUGAUGGAAGAGAAGAUCGGACAGAAACAGAGAAGCAACCUGGAGGAAAAUCUCCUUUAAAGUGAACUUAAUCAUUAAAAGAAAUGAGGAAAAUAAAGAAUUUGGAGUGAGCAUUACUGAUAGAAAGUAUUUUGAGAAUUAUUUCUGUCUCGUCUUGUGUGUGAUUAAACUGCUUCAAUGAUUAAAAGUGUCUUAGCAUGGUCAGGGCAAACUGAAUCUGUGUUUGUGGUUCCUCAGUAAUCUUUGUGUUGAAAGUCCAGUGUGAGAUUGUUUUGUUAUUUUCUUUGCAGGCAUGCUCUGCUUUGUGUUGUGUGUUGUGGCUCAGUGUAUCUCACUUUAAUGCAAAAAGGACCAUAAAAAAAAAUAAAAAUGCUUGACUGUGUGUCUA